rnacentral:rRNA from 1 species
GUCGACCGCCUGGGGAGUACGGCCGCAAGGUUAAAACUCAAAUGAAUUGACGGGGGCCCGCACAAGCGGUGGAGCAUGUGGUUUAAUUCGAUGCAACGCGAAGAACCUUACCUACUCUUGACAUCCAGAGAACUUAGCAGAGAUGCUUUGGUGCCUUCGGGAACUCUGAGACAGGUGCUGCAUGGCUGUCGUCAGCUCGUGUUGUGAAAUGUUGGGUUAAGUCCCGCAACGAGCGCAACCCUUAUCCUUUGUUGCCAGCGGUUAGGCCGGGAACUCAAAGGAGACUGCCAGUGAUAAACUGGAGGAAGGUGGGGAUGACGUCAAGUCAUCAUGGCCCUUACGAGUAGGGCUACACACGUGCUACAAUGGCAUAUACAAAGAGAAGCGACCUCGCGAGAGCAAGCGGACCUCAUAAAGUAUGUCGUAGUCCGGAUUGGAGUCUGCAACUCGACUCCAUGAAGUCGGAAUCGCUAGUAAUCGUGGAUCAGAAUGCCACGGUGAAUACGUUCCCGGGCCUUGUACACACCGCCCGUCACACCAUGGGAGUGGGUUGCAAAAGAAGUAGGUAGCUUAACCUUCGGGAGGGCGCUUACCACUUUGUGAUUCAUGACUGGGGUGAAGUCGUAACAAGGUAACCGUAGGGGAACCUGCGGUUG